CCCAUAUCCGUAGUCCCAGUCCCAUGAUGCCACAUCCCAUUCCCAGUGCCCAGUCUCAUGGUGCCAUCCCAGUUCCCAGUUCCCAGUUCCCAGUGCUGUAUCCCUAUUCCCAGUCCCAUGAUGCCAUAUCCCAGUUCCCAAUGCCAUAGUCCCACGGUGCCAUCCCAGUUCCCAGUUCCUGGCUCCCAGUGCCAUCUCCCAUUCCCAGUGCCCAGUCCCACGGUGCCAUCCCAGUUCCCAGUUCCCAGUUCCCGGUUCCCAGUGUAUCCCUAUCCCCAGUCCCAUGAUGCCAUAUCCCAGUUCCCAAUGCCGUGUCCCACGGUGCCAUCCCAGUUCCAGGUCCCCCAGUCCCAUCCCAGUUCCUGGUUCCCAGUCCCACAGUGCCCUAUCCCAUAUCCCAGUUCCCAGUCCCACAGUGCUGCAUCCCAGUUCCCAAUGCUGUGUCCCAUGGUGCCAUCCCAGUUCCCGGUUCCUGGUUCCCGGUUCCUGGUUCCCAGUGCCAUCUCCCAUUCCCAGUUCCCACUUCCCAGUCCCCCAAUGCCAUAUCCCAUUCCCAGUUCCCAGUCCCAUGGUGCCGUAUCCCGACUCCCAGUCCCCCAUUGCCAUCUCCCAUUCCUAGUUCCCAGUUCCUUGGUGCCAUAUCCCAACUCCCGGUCCCAUGAUGCCAUAUCCCAUUCCCAGUUCCCAAUUCCCAGUUCCCAGUCCCAUCGUGCCAUCCCAGUUCCCAAUUCCCAGUUCCCAGUGCCAUCUCCCAUUCCCAGUUCCCAAUUCCCAGUUCCCGGUGCCAUAUCCCAUUCCCAGUCCCCAGUUCCCAGUCCCAUGGUGCCAUAUCCCAUUCCCAGUUCCCAAUUCCCAGUUCCCAAUGCCAUAUCCCAUUCCCAGUUCCCAAUUCCCAGUCCCCCAUUGCCAUUUCCCAUUCCCAGUUCCCAGUCCCAUGGUGCCAUAUCCCGACUCCCAGUCCCAUGAUGCCGUAUCCCAUUCCCAGUUCCCAAUUCCCAGUCCCAUGAUGCCAUCUCCCAUUCCCAGUUCCCAGUUCCUGGUGCCAUCUCCCAUUCCCAGUUCCCGGUGCUGUCUCCCAUUCCCAGUUCCCAGUCCCCCCGUCCCAUAUCCCAUCUCCCGUUCCCUAUCCCCGGUCCCCGGUCCCACGGUGCCAUCCCGGUGCCCGGNCCCAGUCCCAUAUCCGUAGUCCCAGUCCCAUGAUGCCACAUCCCAUUCCCAGUGCCCAGUCUCAUGGUGCCAUCCCAGUUCCCAGUUCCCAGUUUCCAAUGCUGUAUCCCUAUUCCCAGUCCCAUGAUGCCAUAUCCCAGUUCCCAGUGCCAUACUCCCACGGUGCCAUCCCAGUUCCCAGUCCCCCCGUGCCAUAUCCCAUCUCAUCUCCCAUUCCCGGUUCCCAGUGCCACAUCCCGACUCCCAGUCCCAUGAUGCCGUAUCCCAUUCCCAGUUCCCAAUUCCCAGUUCCCAAUGCCAUAUCCCAUUCCCAGUUCCCAACUCCCAGUUCCAUGAUGCCAUAUCCCAUUCCCAUUUCCCAGUUCCUUGGUGCCAUAUCCCGACUCCCAGUUCCCAGUGCCAUAUCCCAUUCCCAGUUCCCAAUUCCCAGUUCCCAGUGCCAUAUCCCAUUCCCAGUUCCCAAUUCCCAGUCCCAUGAUGCCGUAUCCCAUUCCCAGUUCCCAAUUCCCAGUUCCCGGUGCCAUAUCCCAUUCCCAGUUCCCAGUUCCCAAUGCCAUAUCCCGACUCCCGGUCCCAUGAUGCCAUCUCCCAUUCCCAGUUCCCAGUUCCUGGUGCCAUCUCCCAUUCCCAGUUCCCAAUUCCCAGUCCCAUGAUGCCAUAUCCCAUUCCCAGUUCCCAAUUCCCAGUUCCAUGAUGCCAUAUCCCAUUCCCAUUUCCCAGUUCCUUGGUGCCAUAUCCCGACUCCCGGUCCCAUGAUGCCAUCUCCCAUUCCCAGUUCCCAGUCCCAUGGUGCCACAUC
rnacentral:lncRNA from 1 species